GAAAUGCGAUACUUGGUGUGAAUUGCAGAAUCCCGUGAACCAUCGAGUCUUUGAACGCAAGUUGCGCCCGAAGCCUUUAGGCCGAGGGCACGUCUGCAUGGGCGUCACGCAUCGCGUCGCCCCCCAAACACUGAGCACCUAGAGUGCUCUGUGGCUUGGUGGGGAGCGGAUAUUGGCCUCCCGUGCCUUUCGGCGCGGCUGGCUCAAACUUGAGUCCCCUGCGUAGGACGCACGACAAGUGGUGGUUGAUAACAAGGCCCUCGCGUCCCGUCGUGCGGCAAUCCUCCGCCGGAUUUGGCUCGUCACAAGUGACCCUGAUGACGCACCUUCGCGACCCCCACGCAUGUGGUGGCCGAUGAUGGUUGCGCUCCGACCGCGACCCCAUGUCAGGCGGGACUAC
rnacentral:misc_RNA from 1 species